rnacentral:sRNA from 1 species
AAGUGAAUUGGAAAAACACUUAUCAAUGCUCUUACUGAUCAUCCCCAAUGGAUUUGUCUAUAGUCAAGUAUCACCAGUCAUCUAUUUUUACUUUCUUUUUAAUAUUUGAUUCCCUUUUCUGGUCUUGAUUAUGCUGAUUACUUUUACAAUACAACUCAAGAUGACACUGAACAUGACAGACUUGAGGUAUUGGUAGAACUUACAUAGAUCCUACUAUCAUUAUAUACAACUGAAUUUGAAUUAAUAUGUUUAAAAGAGUACUUAGCUCAAUAGAACAUUUUUUUUUAU